GAUGAACGCUAGCUACAGGCUUAACACAUGCAAGUCGAGGGGUAACGAGAGGGAAGCUUGCUUUCCUUGUCGACGACCGGCGCACGGGUGAGUAACGCGUAUCCAACCUGCCCCCAACUAGGGAAUAACCUUGCGAAAGUAAGACUAAUACCCUAUAAUUUCCUCAGAUGUCAUCUGACGAGGAAUAAAGAUUUAUCGGUUGUGGAUGGGGAUGCGUCUGAUUAGCUUGUUGGCGGGGUAACGGCCCACCAAGGCGACGCUCAGUAGGCGUUCUGAGAGGAAGGUCCCCCACAUUGGAACCGAGACACGGUCCAAACUCCUACGGGAGGCAGCAGUGAGGAAUAUUUGUCAAUGGGCGGAAGCCUGAACCAGCCAAGUAGCGUGCAGGAUGACGGCCCUAUGGGUUGUAAACUGCUUUUAUACAGGAAUAAAGUUAGCCACGUGUGGUUAUUUGUAGGUACUGUAUGAAUAAGGACCGGCUAAUUCCGUGCCAGCCGCCGCCGUAA
rnacentral:rRNA from 1 species